UACGGAGGGUGCAAACGUUGCUCGGAAUCAUUGGGCGUAAAGCGCACGUAGGCGGCUAGAUAAGUCGGGUGUGAAAGCCCUGGGCUCAACCCAGGAAGUGCAUUCGAAACUGUCUAGCUUGAAUCUCGGAGGGGGUCAGAGAAUUCCCGGUGUAGAGGUGAAAUUCGUAGAUAUCGGGAGGAAUACCAGUGGCGAAGGCGCUGACCUGGACGAAGAUUGACGCUGAGGUGCGAAAGCGCGGGGAGCAAACAGG
rnacentral:rRNA from 1 species